ensembl:snRNA U6 U6 spliceosomal RNA
UUGCUUCAACAGCACAUACACAAAAAUUUAAACAAUACUGAGAAAAUUAGCACGCCCUCUGCGCAAGAAUGAAAUGACUCUUAAAAUUAAGUAUAAUGAUGAA